UUCUCAAGAAGGUGGCAUUCAU
rnacentral:miRNA from 1 species